rnacentral:rRNA from 1 species
UACGGAGGGUGCAAGCGUUAAUCGGAAUUACUGGGCGUAAAGCGUGCGCGGGCGGUUUGUUAAGUCUGCUGUGAAAUCCCCGAGCUCAACUUGGGAAUUGCAGUGGAUACUGGCAGGCUGGAGUAUGGUAGAGGAAGGUGGAAUUCCCGGUGUAGCAGUGAAAUGCGUAGAGAUCGGGAGGAACACCAGUGGCGAAGGCGGCCUUCUGGACCAAUACUGACGCUCAUGCACGAAAGCGUGGGGAGCAAACAGG